CAACAUUAUCUUCUUCAUCAAGUCUUUUUUUUUUCUGCAAAUUUCUUCAUCAAGUCUUCUCUCUACCAUCAUCGUUUAUCAUCAUCACUGAAUCUCACAGAUCUCCGAGGUGAUCCUUCUUCGUUAGUGAACACCUUCUAGGCUUUGAUAGGUAGUAUGCUGGCUUCAACCCAAAACCCAUUCUUCUGCUUCAGCGAACCAUUGUAUCCGGGAAGCCGCUCCGUACUAUUCACCCGCUUCCAACAAGGUAGGUCGUGAUGGAGGCUUCUCAGCUUCUGCUAAAAGAUAUCAUUUGGGGAAAGAGUUGCUGAGUUUUGCUUCAGAUAAUUUCUUGCCGCUAGCUCUUGUUACUGGUGUGGGGUUGGGGUUUUCAAAGUUCAGCACAUAUUUAUUAUAUCAGGAGGGUUGACUUUACGAACAGACAAAAACUCUCUUUUCAAAGUUCAGCACAUGUGGUGCUGCUGUGAAUGGGUGGCCUCUUGGUAUCUUCGGGCUAGUAUGAUCUUGCUUCCUGUUUUGCUUUCAUAGCCUCUCCGAAUGGCCUCUAUUUUGUUGCUCACUCCAUCCUUCUCAAAGGCUAGUUAUGCUAGUCCAACUCCAACCUCACGGACUUGUUAUAGAUCAUGAUUGAUUCAAUACACUAACUAGUCAACGAAUGGCUCGGGAAGAGUAAGGCGUCUUCCACUGAUGUAAUAAAGACAGCUUAAGAACGAGAGGAGAUAGAAGCAAUGAAAACCCACCACAGUGAUGCAGAAGGUUUAGUCCUAUUGUUUUGCAGAUUCAUUUGUAUAAAUUUUAUGAAAAAAAUAUUGUAUUGACUAAACUAAAACCGUUUGUGAUUUUGAUUAAUUACGACCAGUACCCCACCGAUACAGCAAGGUUUCGUUCUC